rnacentral:piRNA from 1 species
UCCGGUGAGUAGUUAACAUUUACUGAGUGC